GGAAAUUGAGGUAAGAGCUACUGCUGGAUGGAGGCCUGUGCCUGCUGCCACAUAAGCCUUAGUGAGGUUUAGAUCCACCUUUUUAUCCAUGGGAUCUCUGAAUGAUCCUGCAUCGUCAACUGGUAGGGUAGUGUGCUUGGCCAGUCUUACUACAGCCGCAUCUACCUUAGGAGCAGAAUCCCAGCAGCUGGAGUCCUUCCUCCUGAA